rnacentral:rRNA from 1 species
AUGGAAUGCCAAAAUAUUCCAUGGCAAACUGCUCAAUAACACGUGAUCAACUUACCCUAUGGAAAACAAUAACCUCUGGAAACGGAGGAUAAUGGUUUAUAGUUGAAAAGGCUUGGAAAAGUUUUUCAAUAAAAGGGAAUAAUAAAAAUGGUUAUUAUUUUGCCAUAGGAUAGGAUUGCGGUCGAUUAUGGCCGUUGGUGAGGUAAUGGCUCACCAAACCAAUAAUCGAUAGGGGCCGUGAGAGCGGGAGCCCCGAGAUGGGUACUGAGACAACGACCCAGGCCUUACGAGGCGCAGCAGGCGCGAAAACUCCGCAAUACACGAAAGUGUGACGGGGUUACCCAAAGUGCUUAAUAUUUAAGCUGUGGUAAGUGUGUAAUGUACCUUACUAGAAAGGAGAGGGCAAGGCUGGUGCCAGCCGCCGCGGUAAAACCAGCUCUUCAAGUGGUCGGGAUAUUUAUUGGGCUUAAAGUGUCCGUAGCUUGUAUAAUAAGUUCCUGGUAAGAUCUAAUAGCUUAACUAUUAGUAUGCUAGGAAUACUGUUAUACUAGAGGGCGGGAGAGGUUUGAGGUACUUCAGGGGUAGGGGUGAAAUCCUAUAAUCCUUGAAGGACCACCAGUGGCGAAGGCGUCAGACUGGAACGCGCCUGACAGUGAGGGACGAAAGCCAGGGGAGCGAACCGGAUUAGAUACCCGGGUAGUCCUGGCCGUAAACGAUG